CACAUGUAGCGCAGCAUGUGAGGAUGUACAAUGCCUGACUCUAACUGGGCAAAAAGUUCCCAGGAGUCUGUGCGUGAGGAGCGUUUCUCAACCAAUCACAGCAGGCCCGUCUGGGAUUGGCCAAAGGAGGCUGCACAUGCGCAGUAUACCAGCGCUAUGAACUAGGACAGUCAUCGCAGAGAGGAGUGUGAGAUUAUGGAUUGCAUUUGGAAAUCUCCAUCUAGAAAUCCUGCGUUAGCCACUGGAUUGGGAUGGAAAACCAGCUCUGGAAAUUUAUGGAAGCAGCCCUAAUGGAGGUGUGGUCUAAUGAAGGGGUGAGGUCUGUUGAGGGGGGCGUGAUCCCUCCUCAUAGGGCCUGAUUAUAUGCAAUUGCGGCCUUCCUUGCCUCUUUUGCUGCAGUUGUGUCUGAGACCAGCUGUGUAUGGGAACUAAAAGUGGUCCUGUAUAAUUUUGUAGAAGUGGGCCGACAUGGCAGCACAAAAGGUAGAACAUACCGUGUAGCCAUGGCAGCAUCACUGGAUGGCAGAGUUGCUGUCCUGCAGAGAUGGAAUAACAGAAUGAAUGGGGACAGUGCAGUUUAAUGAGUGUGGGGGGCUGCCUGUCAUGUAAGGGGAGGGGCCACAUGACAACACACAAAACAGGCCACAAACACAUUGGCCUACCAGGAAUCUGUGACAUUCCGGACAUAUAAAACCUCUUUCUUACCUAUGCGGUGUCUGUCCUGGUUGGCGCAGAGGUCUGUGUCCACACAUCGCUCCCAGAGGUCCGCCAGCAUUGAUACCACAUGAGGUUUCCUGCAGCAGCCGCUGUCUCUGGGUAUAGCGCUUUACAGCUCUGUCUUUCAUUGUUUCAGUGUUCAUUCUCUAUUAUGCUCACUUCCUGGUGCUUCCCUCCAAGUCUAGACAUGGGCCCUGCCAUCUUGGAUUCCAUCAGCUGAUCCUCCAUUGCCCAAUCCUGGAGCUCCAUUCAUCAGCUGACUGCAGCAUCCAAUGAAUCCACACUCUAAGUAUAAAAGGAACUUCCUGGGAUUACCAAAUCGUUCAGUACAACAUUCUCUGCUCAGGAAGUAACAGCUCUGUGCUGAGCUCCUUCAUUCCAGUGACUUUGUAAUGAUCCAGUUCCAGUCUGAUAACUUUCAAGGACUCUGCAUUGCUCUGAUCAAGUUCCAGUCUGAUAAACACUAAAGAACUUUGCAAUUAUCUUAAGUACUUCCAGUGUCAAGAUCCAGCCCGGUCAGCACUCCAGUCCGUAUCGCAGCCAUUCCAGUCUCUAUUGUGAUGUGAACUUUUGCCUAUCUUCAGGACUUCCAGUGUCAAGAUUCCAGAUCCAGCCUGGUCAGCACUAAAGACCAUUCCGGUUCCAUUCCGGUCAUCAUUUAGGUUCCAUACCGGUCAUCAGUCCGGGUUCAUUCCGGUCAACUUUCUAGUUGUCAGCCUGGUAUUGUUAUUCAUCGUACAGAAUCUGCAGUGACCUGCAGACUUUAUUCUUAAUAAAAGUUUUAUUCUUAUUA